rnacentral:rRNA from 1 species
GAGUUUGAUCAUGGCUCAGAACGAACGCUGGCGGCAGGCCUAACACAUGCAAGUCGAACGAGCUGAGACCUUCGGGUCUCGAUGCUAGUGGCGCACGGGUGAGUAACGCGUGGGAACGUACCCUUUAGUACGGAAUAACGCAGGGAAACUUGCGCUAAUACCGUAUACGCCCUCCGGGGAAGAUUAUCGCUAAAGGAUCGGCCCGCGUCUGAUUAGGUAGUUGGUGAGGUAACGGCUCACCAAGCCGACGAUCAGUAGCUGGUCUGAGAGGAUUGACUCAGCCACACUGGGACUGAGACACGGCCCAGAC